rnacentral:misc_RNA from 1 species
AAGACUAUAGACCUGCGGAGUACCUGCGGAAGGAUCAUUACUGAGUGAGGGCCCUCUGGGUCCAACCUCCCACCCGUGUUUAUUGUACCUUGUUGCUUCGGUGGGCCCGCCGCAAGGCCGCCGGGGGCUUCCGCCCCGGGCCCGCGCCCACCGGAGACAAACUGAACUCUGUCUGAAUGUUGCAGUCUGAGUAAAAACUUAAUAAGUUAAAACUUUUAGCAACGGAUCUCUAGAUCGGAA